rnacentral:rRNA from 1 species
UAAUACAGAAGGUGCGAGCGUUAAUCGGAAUUACUGGCGUAAAGCGAGUGUAGGUGGCUCAUUAAGUCACAUGUGAAAUCCCCGGGCUUAACCUGGGAACUGCAUGUGAUACUGGUGGUGCUAGAAUAUGUGAGAGGGAAGUAGAAUUCCAGGUGUAGCGGUGAAAUGCGUAGAGAUCUGGAGGAAUACCGAUGGCGAAGGCAGCUUCCUGGCAUAAUAUUGACACUGAGAUUCGAAAGCGUGGGUAGCAAACAGGAUUAGAUACCCUGGUAGUCCACGCCGUAAACGAUGUCUACUAGCCGUUGGGGUCCUUGAGACUUUAGUGGCGCAGUUAACGCGAUAAGUAGACCGCCUGGGGAGUACGGCCGCAAGGUUAAAACUCAAAUGAAUUGACGGGGGCCCGCACAAGCGGUGGAGCAUGUGGUUUAAUUCGAUGCAACGCGAAGAACCUUACCUGGUCUUGACAUAGUGAGAAUCCUGCAGAGAUGC